rnacentral:rRNA from 1 species
UAGGUGUGGGGGACAUUCCACGUUUUCCGCGCCGUAGCUAACGCAUUAAGUGCCCCGCCUGGGGAGUACGGCCGCAAGGCUAAAACUCAAAGGAAUUGACGGGGGCCCGCACAAGCGGCGGAGCAUGCGGAUUAAUUCGAUGCAACGCGAAGAACCUUACCAAGGCUUGACAUGAACCGGAAUGAUGCAGAAAUGUGUCAGCCACUUGUGGCCGGUUUACAGGUGGUGCAUGGUUGUCGUCAGCUCGUGUCGUGAGAUGUUGGGUUAAGUCCCGCAACGAGCGCAACCCUCGUUCCAUGUUGCCAGCGGGUUAUGCCGGGGACUCAUGGGAGACUGCCGGGGUCAACUCGGAGGAAGGUGGGGACGACGUCAAAUCAUCAUGCCCCUUAUGUCUUGGGCUUCACGCAUGCUACAAUGGCCGGUACAAAGGGUUGCGAUACUGUGAGGUGGAGCUAAUCCCAAAAAGCCGGUCUCAGUUCGGAUUGAGGUCUGCAACUCGACCUCAUGAAGUUGGAGUCGCUAGUAAUCGCAGAUCAGCAACGCUGCGGUGAAUACGUUCCCGGGCCUUGUACACACCGCCCGUCAAGUCACGAAAGUUGGUAACACCCGAAGCCGGUGGCCUAACCCCUUGUGGGAGGGAGCCGUCGAAGGUGGGACCGGCGAUUGGGACU